UACGUAGGGUGCAAGCGUUGUCCGGAAUUAUUGGGCGUAAAGAGCUCGUAGGCGGUUUGUCGCGUCGAAUGUGAAAACCCGGGGCUUAACCCCGAGCCUGCAGUGGAUACGGGCAGACUAGAGGUAGGUAGGGGAGAAUGGAAUUCCCGGUGUAGCGGUGAAAUGCGCAGAUAUCAGGAGGAACACCGGUGGCGAAGGCGGGUCUCUGGGCAACAACUGACGCUGAGGAGCGAAAGCGUGGGGAGCGAACAGG
rnacentral:rRNA from 1 species